GACGAACGCUGGCGGCGUGCUUAACACAUGCAAGUCGAGCGGUAAGGCCCUUUCGGGGGUACACGAGCGGCGAACGGGUGAGUAACACGUGGGUGACCUGCCCUCAGCUCUGGGAUAAGCCUGGGAAACCGGGUCUAAUACCGGAUAUGACUCCAUGACGCAUGUUGUGGGGUGGAAAGCCUUGUGCGGCUGAGGAUGGGCCCGCGGCCUAUCAGCUUGUUGGUGGGGUGAUGGCCUACCAAGGCGACGACGGGUAGCCGGCCUGAGAGGGCGACCGGCCACACUGGGACUGAGACACGGCCCAGACUCCUACGGGAGGCAGCAGUGGGGAAUCUUGGACAAUGGGCGCAAGCCUGAUCCAGCCAUGCCGCGU
rnacentral:rRNA from 1 species